rnacentral:misc_RNA from 1 species
GUUUAAAAUAUAUUUGUCACAUCUAUAUAUGUAUUUGCUCCAACUCAAAAUUUUAUUCCAGAGAUUUUUUUCCCCCAAAAUUUUCCCUCUCAGAAAAGCCAGGAUUUUUAAUGACAAGCAGGUAGAAAAUACUUUUGUUUUUGGGAUCUGUUAUUGAGCACCAUUUGAGCAUUUUCAGAACUCAUACACGUUAUUAUCUCUUUCACUGUAAUGAAGCUAGUCCAUGUUUGGUGAAAGGUCACUUGACAAAGACUUCUACCAACAGAGACCAAAAGAAUGCUAACACUUGCUAGUCUAGCAUUCUAUAUAUAGCGAUUGCUUAGACAUAUUAGGAUGCAAAAUUGCAACAUUGUUGAUAAAAAAAUAAUAGUAUUACCUGAAAACUAAAGCUAAACAUGAUCAUCAUUAGCCUAGCAUCAACAAUGCAUGAUUAACAAUUAAUGCCAUCACAUCAUAGGAUGCAUUAGGAUAGACAGAGUGUAGAAAAGUUCUCAACGAUUUCAUUAUGCAAAAUAUUAUCAUGUGCUUUGCUGAUGCAGGUAAUGCCAUAAUAGCUGAAACUAUAUCUUUCCCAUUGGAGCAAUCACACUCUGAUAAUAUAUAACAGCAAAUAAAAAUCACAGUACUGCUAACAAACAAAUCUCCCAUGACCAAUGCUCCAGCUAAAGAGCCGAAGCAUCUCAUGUAUACAAGUUAAACUUACUCUUUCGUUUCCCUAUCAAAUUGCAUCACUUUUACAACGAACCACUCAUCCUUUUCAGCAUUGUUACCCGUGACCCUAGCUGCUACCUGUUCACCCUUUAGACUAGCACAAGCUUCAAGUUGAUUUCUCAUGGAAGGAGAAAGCCUUGAGAUAUCUGACUCAUUCUUCAUUCUUUUCCUUUUCUGAUCACUACCUUCUAUUCUCCUUCGUUGUUGUGCUGGAGGCCCAGAUGGAAGCAGAAGAUCCAGUUGACUCAACAACUGGUUGGAAACAUUUACUUCAUUUUCUGAAAGAUCCUUGGCCUGAGUAUAUAAAAUUUUAAGCCUUGACAAAGAAUUAUCACCAGGCUUCUCAACUACCUCAGGAGUAGCUUGGAGCUUCUUGUGCAUCUUAUUGAUCUCCGAAAGCACUUCCUCUUGCUCUUUCCUCAACCGAUCAAGCUCCCUCGAGCUCUCCAAAAUCCCAGGAAUUUCCGACGACGACAUCUUCCUUUUUUUUUUGGUUUAAUUUUUCUCCUUGUCGGAGAAUCAGAAUCAGAAUAAGCAAUGUUUGUUCUUCUUCUAACAGAAAGAUCGACUCUUGGUAGCUACAAUUCCAUUUCAAUCAUAUCUUACGUUGCUGGAAAGUUUUCUCAGAAUAAAAUCGAAAAGGAAGGCGUUUUUUUUUUUUUUUUUUUUUU